rnacentral:ncRNA from 2 species
CCGAUGCGGGUGGGAGAGCGCCGCCCCGCGCAUCGGGCGGCCGCCGAAGGCGCAAUUCGCCCGGAAUCGCUCAGGCACCCCGUACCAUCCGCAUGAU